UAAGUAUUACAGGUAAUCGCAGCUGCAAGUUCCGAAAGGACGCAGGUGAGGAAAGUCCGGGCUUCACAGGGCAGGAUGCCGGAUAACGUCCGGUGGAGGUGACUCCAAGGCUAGUGCAACAGAAAUGUACCGCCACUUAGGUGGUAAGGUUGGAAAGGCAGUGUAAGAGACUACCGCUUCUUUGGUAACAAAGAGGGCUAUGUAAACCCCAUCCGAAGCAAAACCGAACAAAGAUAAUGUGGCUGCCCGUCACAUCU
rnacentral:RNase_P_RNA from 1 species